rnacentral:misc_RNA from 1 species
GCUCCGUUGGUGAACCAGCGGAGGGAUCAUUACCGAGUUUACAACUCACAAACCCUAUGUGAACCCUACCUUUUGUUGCUUCGGCGGGAUCGCCCUGGGGUUUCACGGCGCCGGAGCUCAGCACCCGCCGGAGGCAUCAAACUCUUGUUUAUUUAUGAGUCCUCCCCGAGGUGCACAAGCCAAAUAAAUCAAAACUUUCAACAACGGAUCUCUUGGUUCUG